CCCGCUUCUGGCUGGGACUCUCCAACCAGAAAUGCGACGACGUCUGGUGUGGCUUUGUAGCCGGAAGCCAGGAGCUGAUCUGGUCUGAUGGCGAGACAACGACACACACCAACUGGGCCUUAGACCAAUUUAAAAGCACCGACGUCGCGUCCUGCGCCUACGUCAACCAAGGAGCUUAUCUUUUGCCUGGGAGGUGGAGGUCUGGCUCCUGCGCUUCCUCGUUGGCCUACAUGUGCAAACGGCCGCAGAGCUGCCCGGAGGGACGGACGUGUACCUCCAAUAGUGUUACUGCUGUAAUGAAGACUUCCGACUGCGACGAUGGCAACUUCCUUUAUGGCGAUGAUUGCUAUCUUUUUGACGCGACGUCUAAAACUUGGGAGGAUGGCGAGAAGUUUUGUCUCGCCCGGCGAGGCCACUUGGCUAGCGUACACUCUGAGCAAGAUGCCCUAUUCAUUAUUGGUGAGCACCAAGAAGAACCGCCACAGUCGU